rnacentral:rRNA from 1 species
GACGAAGGUGGCGAGCGUUGUUCGGAAUCACUGGGCAUAAAGCGCACGUAGGCGGCGACGUAAGUUGGGUGUGAAAUCCCUCGGCCCAACCGAGGAACUGCGCCCAGUACUGCGUUGCUUGAGGAUCCAAGGGGUGCAUGGAAUUCCCGGUGGAGCGGUGAAAUGCGUAGAUAUCACUUGGAACGCCAAAGGUGAAAACAGUCUGCUGGGGAUCUGCUGACGCUGAGACACGAAAGCCAGGGGAGCGAACAGG